rnacentral:rRNA from 1 species
GUGGGGAAUCUUAGACAAUGGGGGAAACCCUGAUCUAGCCAUGCCGCGUGAGCGAUGAAGGCCUUAGGGUUGUAAAGCUCUUUCAGAGGGGAAGAUAAUGACGGUACCCUCAGAAGAAGCCCCGGCUAACUCCGUGCCAGCAGCCGCGGUAAUACGGAGGGGGCUAGCGUUGUUCGGAAUUACUGGGCGUAAAGCGCACGUAGGCGGACCAGAAAGUCAGGGGUGAAAUCCCGGGGCUCAACCCCGGAACUGCCUUUGAAACUCCUGGUCUUGAGGUCGAGAGAGGUGAGUGGAAUUCCGAGUGUAGAGGUGAAAUUCGUAGAUAUUCGGAGGAACACCAGUGGCGAAGGCGGCUCACUGGCUCGAUACUGACGCUGAGGUGCGAAAGCGUGGGGAGCAAACAGGAUUAGAAACCCGAGUAGUCC